rnacentral:sRNA from 1 species
ACACCCAAGCCAUCCGCGAGGAUGGGGCGCAACGCCUCAGGAUCUUACGAAAACAGCCGGGUUGCCGAA